GCCUCCGUAGCUCAGCGGCCAGAGCGCUCGCCUUGUAAGCGAGUGGUCGAGGGUUCGACUCCCUCCGGAGGCUCCA
rnacentral:tRNA from 2 species